rnacentral:rRNA from 1 species
CACGUAGGGGGCAAGCGUUGUCCGGAAUCAUUGGGCGUAAAGAGCUCGUAGGCGGCUCGGUAAGUCGGGUGUGAAACCCCCAGGCUCAACCUGGGGACGCCACCCGAUACUGCUGUGGCUAGAGUCCAGUAGGGGAGUGUGGAAUUCCCGGUGUAGCGGUGAAAUGCGUAGAUAUGCGGAGGAACACCGAUGGCGAAGGCAAUCCCCUGGGCCUGCACUGACGCUCAUGCACGAAAGCGUGGGGAGCAAACAGG